rnacentral:rRNA from 1 species
GCGCACCGCUCGAUAUGUUGUACAAGGCGACGAUCGGUAGCUGGUCUGAGAGGAUGACCAGCCACACUGGAACUGAGACACGGUCCAGACUCCUACGGGAGGCAGCAGUGGGGAAUAUUGGACAAUGGGGGCAACCCUGAUCCAGCAAUGCCGCGUGUGUGAAGAAGGCCUGAGGGUUGUAAAGCACUUUCAGUGGGGAGGAGGGUUGAUAGGUUAAGAGCUAAUUAACUGGACGUUACCCACAGAAGAAGCACCGGCUAACUCCGUGCCAGCAGCCGCGGUAAUACGGAGGGUGCGAGCGUUAAUCGGAAUUACUGGGCGUAAAGGGUGCGUAGGUGGUUGAUUAAGUUAUCUGUGAAAUUCCUGGGCUUAACCUGGGACGGUCAGAUAAUACUGGUUGACUCGAGUAUGGGAGAGGGUAGUGGAAUUUCCGGUGUAGCGGUGAAAUGCGUAGAGAUCGGAAGGAACACCAGUGGCGAAGGCGGCUACCUGGCCUAAUACUGACACUGAGGCACGAAAGCGUGGGGAGCAAACAGGAUUAGAUACCCUGGUAGUCCACGCUGUAAACGAUGUCAACUAGCUGUUGGUUAUAUGAAAAUAAUUAGUGGCGCAGCAAACGCGUAAAAGUUGACAUC